rnacentral:rRNA from 1 species
AGAGUUUGAUCCUGGCUCAGAACGAACGCUGGCGGCAGGCCUAACACAUGCAAGUCGAACGCAUUUUGUCUUUCGGGGCAAGGUGAGUGGCGCACGGGUGAGUAACACGUGGGAACGUACCCUUCAGUUCGGAAUAACGUCGGGAAACUGACGCUAAUACCGGAUACGCCCUUAGGGGGAAAGAUUUAUCGCUGAAGGAGCGGCCCGCGUCUGAUUAGGUAGUUGGUGAGGUAAUGGCUCACCAAGCCGACGAUCAGUAGCUGGUCUGAGAGGAUGAUCAGCCACACUGGGACUGAGACACGGCCCAGACGCCUACGGGAGGCAGCAGUGGGGAAUAUUGGACAAUGGGCGCAAGCCUGAUCCAGCCAUGCCGCGUGAGUGAUGAAGGCCUUCGGGUUGUAAAGCUCUUUCGCACGCGACGAUGAUGACGGUAGCGUGAGAAGAAGCCCCGGCUAACUUCGUGCCAGCAGCCGCGGUAAUAC